AACUAGGUGUAUUUGAUCUCAAAAACAAAUUGCAUAAAAAAAAGCAAGUUGCUUCAGGAAAGUAGCAACUUGGAAUAAAAUCUGGCACGCCUCAGGUUUCUGGGGAGAGGAGAUGUUUGCUUCCUUGCCUUCCUUUGGCUGCCUACAUGU